AGUGAACGCUGGCGGUAGGCCUAACACAUGCAAGUCGAACGGCAGCACAGGAGAGCUUGCCCUCUGGGUGGCGAGUGGCGGACGGGUGAGGAAUACAUCGGAAUCUACCUUUUCGUGGGGGGAUAACGUAGGGAAACUUACGCUAAUACCGCAUACGACCUACGGGUGAAAGUGGGGGACCGCAAGGCCUCACGCGAUUAGAUGAGCCGAUGUCCGAUUAGCUAGUUGGCGGGGUAAUGGCCCACCAAGGCGACGAUCGGUAGCUGGUCUGAGAGGAUGAUCAGCCACACUGGAACUGAGACACGGUCCAGACUCCUACGGGAGGCAGCAGUGGGGAAUAUUGGACAAUGGGCGCAAGCCUGAUCCAGCCAUACCGCGUGGGUGAAGAAGGCCUUCGGGUUGUAAAGCCCUUUUGUUGGGAAAGAAAUCCUGUCGAUUAAUACUCGGUGGGGAUGACGGUACCCAAAGAAUAAGCACCGGCUAACUUCGUGCCAGCCGCCGCGGUAAUAC
rnacentral:rRNA from 1 species